GUCCCGUUAGUUCAACGGAUAGAAUAUGGGUCUUCUAAACCUACGAUAUAGGUUCGACUCCUAUACGGGACA
rnacentral:tRNA from 1 species